rnacentral:rRNA from 1 species
GGGUGAGUAACGCGUGGGUAACCUGCCUUAUACAGGGGGAUAACAGUUGGAAACGACUGCUAAUACCGCAUAAGCGCACGGUAUCGCAUGAUACAGUGUGAAAAACUCCGGUGGUAUAAGAUGGACCCGCGUCUGAUUAGCUUGUUGGUGAGGUAACGGCCCACCAAGGCGACGAUCAGUAGCCGGCCUGAGAGGGUGAACGGCCACAUUGGGACUGAGACACGGCCCAAACUCCUACGGGAGGCAGCAGUGGGGAAUAUUGCACAAUGGGGGAAACCCUGAUGCAGCGACGCCGCGUGAGUGAUGAAGUAUUUCGGUAUGUAAAACUCUAUCAGCAGGGAAGAUAAUGACGGUACCUGACUAAGAAGCACCGGCUAAAUACGUGCCAGCAGCCGCGGUAAUACGUAUGGUGCAAGCGUUAUCCGGAUUUACUGGGUGUAAAGGGUGCGUAGGUGGUAUGGCAAGUCAGAAGUGAAAGGCUGGGGCUCAACCCCGGGACUGCUUUUGAAACUGUCAAACUAGAGUACAGGAGAGGAAAGCGGAAUUCCUAGUGUAGCGGUGAAAUGCGUAGAUAUUAGGAGGAACACCAGUGGCGAAGGCGGCUUUCUGGACUGAAACUGACACUGAGGCACGAAAGCGUGGGGAGCAAACAGGAUUAGAUACCCUGGUAGUCCACGCCGUAAACGAUGGAUACUAGGUGUCGGGCAGCAUAGCUGUUCGGUGCCGCAG